rnacentral:lncRNA from 1 species
CCAUGUGGUAUCGGAUCCUGCACAACUCCAAUUUGAUUUGAUUUUGAGUCCAAUUUGGCUUGAAAUUGAGCUUGCUUUUGUCUCUUAAUUUAGGAUCCAUUUUAAUUCCGAUUUAUUUCAAAUUUAAGUCAUUUUAACCCUUGAAUCAAGUUUUUUCUAUUGACAACCAUCUUUCCUGCAAAAAAUAAAUAAAAACAUCAAUUCUUAAGGAAUAAAGAUAAAUUAAUUUAUAAAUUAAUAUUUUUAUUGAUGUAUUUAUUGUAC